GACGAACGCUGGCGGCGUGCCUAAUACAUGCAAGUCGAGCGAGACUCUUCGGAGUCUAGCGGCGGACGGGUGAGUAACACGUGGGCAACCUGCCUGUAAGACUGGGAUAACACCGGGAAACCGGUGCUAAUACCGGAUAAUCCUUUUCCUCUCAUGAGGGAAAGCUGAAAGUCGGUUUCGGCUGACACUUACAGAUGGGCCCGCGGCGCAUUAGCUAGUUGGUGAGGUAACGGCUCACCAAGGCGACGAUGCGUAGCCGACCUGAGAGGGUGAUCGGCCAGCCUGGGACUGAGCAACGGCCCAGAAUCCAACGGGAGGCAGGAGUGGGGAAUCUUCCACAAUGGACGAAAGUCUGAUGGAGCAACGCCGCGUGAGCGAUGAAGGCCUUCGGGUCGUAAAGCUCUGUUGUUAGGGAAGAACAAGUACCGAAGUAACGGCCGGUACCUUGACGGCACCUAACCAGAAAGCCACGGCUAACUACGUGCCAGCCGCCGCCGUAACAC
rnacentral:rRNA from 1 species